GGAUUAGAUACCCUGGUAGUCCACGCCGUAAACGAUGAGUACUAGAUUUUGGGGCCUUUGACCGCUUCAGAGUCGCAGCUAACGCAUUAAGUACUCCGCCUGGGAAGUACGGUCGCAAGACUAAAACUCAAAGGAAUUGACGGGGGCCCGCACAAGCGGUGGAUUAUGUGGUUUAAUUCGAAGCAACGCGCAGAACCUUACCUGGGCUUGAAAUCCCGAGAAGAUCGGCCAAAACUGAUUGUGCUCUUCGGAGAACUCGGUGACAGGCGCUGCAUGGCUGUCGUCAGCUCGUGCUG
rnacentral:rRNA from 1 species